rnacentral:rRNA from 1 species
GUCUACGGCCAUGCCACCCUGAACACGCCCGAUCCCAUCUGAUCUCGGAAGCUAAGCAGGGUCGGUCCUGGUUAGUACGUAGAUGGGAGACCACCUAGGAAGACCAGGUGUUGUAGCUG